rnacentral:rRNA from 1 species
CACGUAGGCGGCCAUUCAAGUCAGAGGUGAGAGCCCGGGGCUCAACCCCGGAACUGCCUUUGAAACUAGAUGGCUUGAAUCUUGGAGAGGCGAGUGGAAUUCCGAGUGUAGAGGUGAAAUUCGUAGAUAUUCGGAAGAACACCAGUGGCGAAGGCGACUCGCUGGACAAGUAUUGACGCUGAGGUGCGAAAGCGUGGGGAGCAAACA